rnacentral:rRNA from 1 species
CAGCAGCCGCGGUAAUACGUAGGUCCCGAGCGUUGUCCGGAUUUAUUGGGCGUAAAGCGAGCGCAGGCGGUUAGAUAAGUCUGAAGUUAAAGGCUGUGGCUUAACCAUAGUACGCUUUGGAAACUGUUUAACUUGAGUGCAAGAGGGGAGAGUGGAAUUCCAUGUGUAGCGGUGAAAUGCGUAGAUAUAUGGAGGAACACCGGUGGCGAAAGCGGCUCUCUGGCUUGUAACUGACGCUGAGGCUCGAAAGCGCGGGGAGCGAACAGGAUUAGAGACCCGUGUAGUCCCUGUCUCUUAUACA